GUGUCCUUAGUACAGUGGUUAGUACACUUGACAUGGAUUAUAAGAGACAUGGGCUCAACUCCCAUAGGACACA
rnacentral:tRNA from 1 species